rnacentral:misc_RNA from 1 species
CCAAGACCGUGCAGCCAAACUAUGGUAGCCUGGUGUUGUCCUUUAGGCCUGACCACAUGGGUCCUUCCAAACUCAAAUGUCUUCAUAGUACUUCUACUACCAGAACCACUAGUGGUUGNNNNNNCACAACCAAAUUAUUCAGACUUCGCAGACUACUUGAUUAUUAAUGAACGGUUUAAGCCGAGUUCCUUUUCUUUUGUUCGUUCAUAUUUCCUCAGAAACCCCAAGAAC